CACGGCGCCCCUGCUGAUAUCAGACCACUUUGGAUCAGCAGAUUGAAAAGUCAUCCACCUACUUCGCCACAUUCACCCCUCUGAAUUAAACCCUGCAUCUGAGAACCAGAAAUAUGUCUGAUCAGCUUUGCCUCUUAAGGCACCAACCCAGACAAAUGGAAAGCAAAUGUCUGAACCCUGUUUUGUUCUUCCGUGGACCUGCUGGAAGUCACUCUGGGUCAGUUGCCUUGGCCGGCGCGCUGAAAACACACAAGACAACCGCUUUGAACUAUCAAAGAAGCAAUUCUUUGUAAAACAAGGCGAUUCGUCUUGAUGACAGCUGGCGCUAUGAGAGCAGACGGGUCCCAAAACACUGCUACAGCAACCGAGCUGUUAGGUUACACGGCCUUGAAAUGUACCCUGCAAACAAGAUAAGUCUUUGAAGAUUUGGCUUUCUGGAGAAAAAAAAAUGAAAGCAAUCGAUACAAUUUAAGAUAAGAUUCAUAAAAAUCACUGAGUGUAUUUCCACUAAAAACACAGGACCACAGUGAUCGUCCACUGAUGCCAUUUAGCGUUAACGCAACAAGCUGAUCUGAGGGAACGCAUCUGAGAGACUUCGGCGAUGAAUGAGAGCAAAACAAGAAGAUAAACACCGGGAAGGGCAUCAGUGGAGUGGAAACAGGUGAGACUGAUGAACUGAACCGCUGGGAUGGGUGCAGGCUGGCUGACCGAGGGGGACUGGCAGGAAUUUACCCUGCAACCGCGUAAAAACACGGGCAACAAAAACCAAAAGACCCGAUAAAACUGAAAAGAGAUCUAACAGACAUGCCCUCUAAGUUCUACAGGUUAUGACUCUAAUA